rnacentral:rRNA from 1 species
AAUCAACGCUGGCGGCGUGCCUAACACAUGCAAGUCGAACGCGAAAAUUCCUUCGGGAAUGAGUAGAGUGGCGUCCGAGUGAGUAACGCGUGGGUAAUCUACCUUCGGGUGGGGAAGUAACCCACGGGAAACGUUAGGGCGUAAUAACCGCAUAAUGCAGCGGCUCGACAUCGAGAUAGUUGUUAAAGACAGCAAUGCGCCUGAAGAAGAGCCUGCGUCUGAUUA